UACGGAAGGCAGCAGUGAGGAAUAUUGGUCAAUGGGUGCAAGCCUGAACCAGCCAUCCCGCGUGAAGGACGACUGCCCUAUGGGUUGUAAACUUCUUUUGUAUAGGGAUAAACCUACCCUCGUGAGGGUAGCUGAAGGUACUAUACGAAUAAGCACCGGCUAACUCCGUGCCAGCAGCCGCGGUAAUACGGAGGGUGCAAGCGUUAUCCGGAUUUAUUGGGUUUAAAGGGUCCGUAGGCGGACUUAUAAGUCAGUGGUGAAAGCCUGUCGCUUAACGAUAGAACUGCCAUUGAUACUGUAAGUCUUGAGUAUAUUUUGAGGUAGCUGGAAUAAGUAGUGUAGCGGUGAAAUGCAUAGAUAUUACUUAGAACACCAAUUGCGAAGGCAGGUUACCAAGAUAUAAACUGACGCUGAGGGCGAAAGCGUGGGGAGCGAACAGGGAUUAGAUACC
rnacentral:rRNA from 1 species